rnacentral:rRNA from 1 species
CAAUAGCGUAUAUUAAAGUUGUUGCGGUAAAAAGCUCGUAGUUGGAUUUCUGUCGAGAACAUGCGGUCACGAUUUUGUCGUUGCAUCUGUGUUGGUCUUGGCAUCCUCUUGGGGAACAUUUCUGCGCUUCACUGCGUGGAGUGGUAUUCAAGACUUUUACUUUGAGGAAAUUAGAGUGUUCACGGCAGGCAAUCGCCCUGAAUAUAUUAGCAUGGAAUAAUGAUAUAGGACCUUGGUUCUAUUUUGUUGGUUUCUAGGACUAAGGUAAUGAUUAAUAGGGACAAUUGGGGGCGAUUCGUAUUAACGCGUCAGAGGUGGAAUUCUUGGAUUUAUGAAAGACGAACUUCUGCGAAAGCAUUUGCCAAGGAUGUUUUCAUUAAUCAAGAACGAAAGUUGGGGGCUCGAAGACGAUUAGAUACCG